rnacentral:rRNA from 1 species
CGUGUAGGCGGUUGAGUAAGUGGAAUGUGAAAUGCCCAGGCUCACCCUGGGACCUGCAUUCCAUACUGCUCAGCUCGAGUAUGGGAGAGGAUGAGGGAAUUCCUGGUGUAGCGGUGAAAUGCGUAGAUAUCAGGAGGAACACCGGUGGCGAAAGCGCUCAUCUGGCCCAAUACUGACGCUGAGGCGCGAAAGCUAGGGGAGCAAACGGGAUUAGAUACCCCGGUAGUCCUAGCCGUAAACGGUGAUCACUAGGUGUUGGAGGCAUCGACCCCUCCAGUGCCGCAGCUAACGCAUUAAGUGAUCCGCCUGGGGAGUACGGCCGCAAGGUUGAA